rnacentral:rRNA from 1 species
AGCAGCCGCGGUAAUUCCAGCUCCAAUAGCGUAUAUUAAAGUCGUUGCAGUUAAAAGCUCGUAGUUGAAUUUCGGGAUUGACACAUCGGUCGUGCCUUAAGGGGUAUGAACUGGUGUAGUCAAUUUCUCACCUUCUGGAGAACCGCGAUGCCCUUAAUUGGGUGUCGCGGGGAACCAGGACCUUUACUUUGAAAAAUUAGAGUGUUUAAAGCAGGCAUUUUGCUUGAAUACAUUAGCAUGGAAUAAUAAAAUAGGACGGCAUGAUUCUAUUUUGUUGGUUUCUAGGAUCACCGUAAUGAUUAAUAGGGAUAGUUGGGGCAUUAGUAUUCAAUUGUCAGAGGUUGAAAUUCUUGGGAUUUUUAUUGAAGACUAACUACUGCGAAAGCAUUUUGCCAAGGAUGUUUUCAUUAAUCAAGAACGAAAGUUUAGGGGGAUCGAAGACGAUCAGAUACCGUCGUAGUCUUAACCAUAAAA